CAGCCGGAUCAGUUUAUUUUCAAAGACAGGGCUUUCUGCAGAUGUCACCGUGGAGCUGGCAGGAAGGCCUCUGUGGGCAGCUGGUUGCCGUGGCCGUGCAGGGCAGUUGGGGGCCCCCUCCCCCUGACCUGGGAAGCUGACUGGCUGUGGCCUUGAUGUGAGACUUGAGAACCUGACAAAGUCUUCUUAUUGAGGAAGCAGGAAGCCAGGAGAGCUGGCAGGUAAACUCAAGCCAGCAUCCAUGACGGCUUCUUGGAGUCAUCUGCCAGAAUGUCCAGAUGUGGAGUCCAAUCAGGUCAGAAGGGACAGGGAUUAUACAUAAAAAUGUAAAAGCUGGAUUAUAUCUGGAGAAGGUCAAGAUCCAAGUGGGGAAGG
ensembl:lncRNA